rnacentral:lncRNA from 1 species
AGGAAACUUGAAAAAUAUUACUUUUGGAAGUCACAUGUCUGCCUAGUGGAAUGACCGCACCGCUUUAUUUUAUCGGUUCAAAAGACACUUUGAAAACCAUGAACAAUUAUUGCGGACUGGGUUUAUUAAAAUUAAUUGGGUGGAAUUUAACGUUCCGUCGAGGAAUGUCAGCGGGACUGUAGACUGGAGCUAAGCAGUGCAUUUGGGACGCGCGCUCAUGGAGCUUCAGGUGGUAUGUGGACUGCUCUACUGCAUUCUGUUGCCGACGUUCUUGUUAGCAGCAAGAUCUAUUGGUGCUCAUCUGGAUGCAGACUGUAACCCUGCCAUCUUUGUGGUCAAUCCAAGGCUGGAAGGUGCACAUCACUGAGGGCAAUAAAAAUGCUCCCGACGGUGGGUCAUCCUGACCAGUGCUGUGUUCCACAUCAGGCCACAUAGGACCUGUUUAAUCAAGACCACAUGGUUGGCUGGUGUGUUUACUACUACCGUUUGAAAGUGAGACAAUGAGAAGGUAAUGAACCUGUAUCUUAGUGGAAUAAAGAUUUUAGAACAAGGUGGAUUAUGACAAACACAGUAAAUCAAAUCAAAUGUUAUUUGUCACAUGCGCUGAAUACAACUUACCAUGAAGUGCUUACUUACAAGCCCUUAACCAACAAUGCAGUUCAAGAAAUAGAGUUAAGAAAAUAUUUACUAAAUAAACUAAAGUGAAAAAAUAAAUGAAAUAAUAUCAAAAAGUAACACAAGAAAAUUACAUAACAAUUACGAGGCUAUAUACAGGGGGUACCGAGUCAAUGUGUGGGGGUACAGGUUAGUUGAGGUAAUUUGUAACAGCAGCAGUAUAAAAACAAAGGGGGGGGGGGGGGGGGCUUGGAAGCUGGUGGAAGCUGUUAAGGAGCCUUUUGGUCCUAGACUUGGCGUUCCGGUACCGCUUGCCGUGCGGUAGCAGAGAGAAGUGAGUGGAGUGGAGUCUUUGACCAUUUUUUUGGGCCUUCCUCUGACACCUCCUAGCAUAUAGGUCCUCGAUGUCAGGAAUCUUCCACUAUAUUAAUUUGGAAAUUUGAAGAAAAGAUGGACCUGUUCGAUCCAAGCAAUCAAAUAUAGUUCAAAUAAUGACAUACUGCAUCAAUUAUAUUUUCUACUCACACAAACACACACCUGUGUGAUAACAAACACACACUUGUGUGACAUGAACUCUUUCAUUUUGGAACACUUCUGUAUG